rnacentral:antisense_RNA from 1 species
CUUCAACGACCCCAGCCACAGCGGCCGUUCCCGGUCCCGGCCAUAUGUCGCGAUCAGCGCCUGCGCCUC